GAAGGGAAGCCCACGGGUGCUUCUGAGAGAUGCUGCUUUUCAAAUGGCACAGCCAUCAACCUACAAACCGUUGAACAACUUAAAAAUCUCUUUUAGUUUUAAAUGCAGGAGCUGGCAGAAAAUAGAGCCAGUGGUUUCGCGAUGAGAACAAAGAGAGGCAAAGGGGCUCUUCAGUGCUGCGCACCCCUACAACCGCACGGCCUUUAUUAAGGAAUGGAGAACCAAAAGAAGCUGACCCCGUGGAAAUAAGGGCAGUGAAUCUGCUGACAACAGCUCCAAGGGAACAAAUGCAACAUGCCGACCUCGUACCGGCAUGGCUCCCACACUGCGUGACAGGGCUUUGCAUGUGCGUGUGUGAAGAUGCGUGGAUAUAUAUGUGGAUGGAAGCAGCAACACAGUGAGCUGUCUUUGCUGGGAACCUUUUUAAAGGGGAAGAACAUAACUGAGAGAGAAUAUUAUCAGCGGCAUUUAUUUGUUGUUAUUUGCAGCCUUACACAAAUACUGCAGUGAGGAGGAAAGUGUUUCAUACUUUCAACCCACAGGCAAAACACGGAAACACAUAAAAUAUUUGUCAGUGUUAACAGCCAGAGAAUGAGUCCAUAGAUGUGCUGUGGGAAGAAGCUCGAGCCUUUCUGCUGACGUUUUUGUUUGGUUUUGGUGGGAUUUUUUUGGUUAAAAAUGAAUAAAUGAGCUCUUUUAAAAUGACAUUUGAUUUUAUGUGUGCUGCUGUGUGCUUUCUGUUCCAUUUUCCUAUUUCCAUUUAGAUAUUUAGUACAAACCAAGGACUGCUUUGCCUCUUCAAACGGGUGAGAAUUUGACAACAGUUCUGAACUAAGUCACGUCAGAUGUGCCUUGAAGUGAAAUGGAACCUUUCCUCUACUUUCAAGAGAAGCAAAGUCAAACUGCAGAACCCUACAGGCAAAAUACCAUGGCUGAUUGUGUGAGAUGGAUGUCCCAAAGCUCCAGCUAUGCUGUCAGUCUGCACUAGCAACAGAGCUGUGCUACCCAAGAGGAGAGGUUCUGCAGAAUAGAGGCCCCUGGAAGAUCUGCUCCGAGAUACAGCUGGAACAGCUGACCCAUACAGCUACCAAGGGAGCAAAAAGGACACGGGAUCUGUCUGCUGAUUCCCCUCCCACUGUGCAUGCGUGGAUCUGCAAAGUAUGAUUGGGUGGAAGAGAAUGAAGUCUGGUAAGGAUGCGACUAGUAAAAUGAAAUGUCAAAUACUGUGUGAUCAUAUUAAUUUGUAUAAAAGAAAUGGCCAAGUUGGUUUUUUUUUAUUUUAUUCCUCCAAUAGAGGUCUACAGGAAUAGAAAGAAGAAGACUAGUAUUUAUGUGGCACUGUUACAAGGUGCCAGUGUUCAUAAACUUGAGUCGUGGCGUUCAGAUGAACACACACCUGAUUUCACUGGUGAAUUAUUAUUUAUUUUAUUUGUUUUUUUUGCAGCUCCCCCUACUUUCAGAGCUGGCUUAGCAGCUUAAAGGACCCAAAUGAAAAAUAUGUGGAUAAUACCACAAAUAAGUUAGUCUGAAUUUAUCUCUUCAAGGGAAAAUGAAUACUUAGUUACCUGGUAAUGCUAGUGAAUAAAAAUAGGAGCACUCAUAAAAUGUAACAUCCUAAAAAGAUGAACAUACUUUUCCCUGGAUUUAAAAGUAAGUUUCGUUUUCAUAAGUAGAGAAAAAUCUGAUUUGUGACUAAUCAUACAGAUACUUACCCUGCUUCAUCCUGUGAAGGUUUGAACUUGCACCAAAGUUGUAGUCUUUCUGCUGUGCUUUUGCAAACUUUCAAAAACAAGCAUUAAUAGUGAUCUGGAUCAGCACACCAGGUUAAGUAAGUGAAGAACAUUCAACUACUCUACUACAAAAAGCAGUACACCUUGCAGUUCACUGCAAACUAUGUUAAGGAAUACAAAACCCCUGAGUAGUACUGUAUGUACCUGGGUGACUACUAUGGGCAAAACAUCUACAGAAGAUUUUAUAUAUAUACUGGCAGAAAACUUCAUUACAAUACUGAAAUAUCCUAGAUAUAGUCUCUGGACACUGCCUCAGGAUCAUAACAUGGAGUGAAGACUACCUUAUAAAAUGUAUUUCAGGCAUCAGCUUGGAUGUGGAUCAGACUGCGUAAAUUAUAGACCUGAAAAGACUGUCAUCUGAACCACUUAACUAGAAAUUGUUCUUUCUGGACUUUCCAUAUAAGGCAGCAAAGAAAAGGAGAUUCCACAGAAAUUAAUUCAGAUAAAAUAACUAUAAUUUCUAACUGCUUUGGAUACUUCUUUUCUACUCUAAAUGAAUGAUGUAAACACUCUUUUAGUAGGUAAUGCAAAAAAUGUUUAUAAAAAGUUACCUCUUCCAAUUCAAAAAGCUGAUUCUGUUUCCAGAUCGAUUCUUUCACAGGCUCAUCUCUACGGAAUGCAGACAGAGCUCUCUGGUAAGUGAUUUUUCCCAUGCUUUUACUUGCUUUCUAAAUUACUUCUGACACACACACACACAUAUAUAUAUUUGCCAGUAAUUGGGAAAUGUUUUCCCCUACUGAAAUACUGGAAAUUAUUUCUGAACUUGAGAUUUAGCAACAAGAAUCUAGUAUGAGGUGACUGUAGAUAUGUGACAAAACCACCUUAAUGUAAAAUGUGGGACGCUCACAUAUGCCAAGUUUGGUGCAGGCAAUGGAAGGGGACGGUAUUUUCGCAGUCAAAUCAGAGCAACAGCUUUACUGCAUGGACUCAGAACUAUCCUAUCAAAGAAUCUUUCUCUCUAGUUAUUACAAACAGGUGUACAAUGGUACAACAAAUAGCUUACAUACACAUAAGUUUAUUCACAUUAGUCAUUAUUAUUUUCACUGGGAUAACUUGGGUCUUUGUUAACAUUGUUCAGAAUUUUUGCCACCUUGUCCUCUUAGACAGGAUUUCUCCAGUUCAGAAAGGUCUCUGCAGUUAUCACUAAUUAAUAGAUGGACAAUUUUUAUUGCACUCACCUUUUAUUUCUUGAAUGGUUCUGCAUGUUCUCCUUUAAAUUAAUCUGCUGAUCACGAUAAUUAGCAUAUUUUUCUAAAAUCAAAAGUGAACCUUGAUUUAAGUGCAAGAGCAUAAAUAUAGUUUGAAAAUAACUUGUUCUAUCAACUUCUAAAAGUAACUUUAAUAACUGGAUUUAAAAUUGAAUUGCUGCAAUGCAAAGAUUGAUAACAUGCUUUGAGUCAGGGCAAACACACAUCUGUUUAUAAAAAAUAUGUAGCAUAAGAUGACUGAAAGAAGAAUAAAACAUAGAAUAUACGUCCCUAACUUACUGACACUCACCGCUUUUUU